CCUACGGGGUGCUGCAGUAGGGAAUAUUGCUCAAUGGGGGAAACACUGAAGCAGCAACGCCGCGUGGAGGAUGAAGGUUUUAGGAGUGUAAACUCCUUUUGUUAGAGAAGAUAAUGACGGUAUCUAACGAAUAAGGACCGGCUAACUCAGUGCCAGCAGCCGCGGUAAUACGGAGGGUGCCAGCGUUACUCGGAAUCACUGGGCGUAAAGAGCGCGUAUGCGGGAUAGCAAGUCAGAUGUGAAAUCCUAUGGCUUAACCGUAGAAUUGCAGUUGAAACUGUUAUUCUUGAGUAUGGGAGAGGUAGGUGGAAUUCUUGGUGUAGGGGUAAAAUCCGUAGAGAUCAAGAAGAAUACUCAUUGCGAAGGCAGCCUGCUAGAACAUAACUGACGCUGAGGCUCGAAAGCGUGGGGAUCAAACAGGAUUAGAUACCCGAGUAGUC
rnacentral:rRNA from 1 species